rnacentral:miRNA from 1 species
AUAGGAAGCAUGGAGGGAUCUUAUCAAAAUGCAGCUUCUGAUAUGGUAAGUUUAAGCCAGGCCUUAAAUUCUGCAUUUCUAACAAGCCCCCCAGGUAAUGUUGAU